GAGUUUGAUCCUGGCUCAGGAUUAACGCUGGCGGCGUGCCUAAUACAUGCAAGUCGAACGGAAGUACCUUCGGGUACUUUAGUGGCGAACGGGUGAGUAAUACAUAGGUAACCUACCCUUAAGACGAGGAUAGCCAUUGGAAACGAUGGAUAAAACUGGAUAGGAUAUAGAGGAAGAAUCUUUUAUAUCUAAAAGAGAGAUCUGCUUAAGGAGGGGCCUGUGGCGCAUUAGCUAGUUGGUGGGGUAAGGGCCUACCAAGGCGAUGAUGCGUAGCCGGACUGAGAGGUUGAACGGCCACAAUGGAACUGAGAACGGUCCAUACUCCUACGGGAGGCAGCAGUAGGGAAUUUUCGGCAAUGGGGGGAACCCUGACCGAGCAACGCCGCGUGAACGAAGAAGUUAUUCGUAAUGUAAAGUUCUU
rnacentral:rRNA from 1 species